rnacentral:lncRNA from 1 species
GACUGAAUACAGGAAAAAAGAAGGCAGGUCAGAGAGAUGCCAGCAGCUGUCGGAGAAGCAAGAUGUGAGGCGAGGCAGAAUCCAGGGCACAGAGCAUCAAGAGAAAUACAAGCACUUUGGAAACAUGAAUAAGAAGGCAACGAAGAAACCACUUCCAUAGGCAAGACCAUGGUGAAGAGUUGGCUCUCCACGGCAAGAGUGCUGGCUUUAAAGAUCACCAGGGAAAAGUUAUCUCGGUUUCAGGACCAGGAAGAGCUGGUGACUGAACUGUUUAUCUUCAUGGUUGCUGUGGAUUGGAUGAUGGGUCUGGCUGUUUCUUCUGGGUGCUCAUCUGAAACUCGUCCUGUUACUGGAAUCCGUCGCCCAUAAAGGACGGGAUGAACAGUCCUUCUGGAUGCUCCUGAGCACUUUCCCAACAGUGUCUGGCUCGUUCUGUGCCCACACAGCGUUUUCACCACAUUUGUUCUGUUUCACUUUAUCCACCUUGAUGUGUGAACUCUGGCUCACGACGCAAUCCCUAGCUGCAUAUCUGCUGUAGGCAAAGUCCCUCUGCAGUGUCCCCCACAAGAAGGACAGAGCUAGCUCAAAUAGCAAGGGGAGGUUUCAAGGACAUCAGUGGUUGGAGACAGUGAGAAGCAUGGGGUGUGUCUGCUGAGCAUCAGCUCUAUGUAGUGGCAAAGGAACUAAUUAAUCAUCUUCUCACCAAGCUGAACUCUGAUUUGCUAGUUUCCUCUUCGAGUUUGUUUCGUAGUAUGCUAUCAGCCAAGUUAGUCAAAUAUUGCAGUUCCUUUCUAAAUAUUCCAGCAGCCAGAUGGCAGCAGCAUGUCUACGAGAAGGCACAAUUCACUAGGAGAUAACUUGGUGACAGGCUUGCUGCUGAGGGGACCCACCCAGAAGUGCCUUGGUAGCCCUGCUCAGUGGUCUCUACCACUAAACCUCACAGUCCCAAGAAGACAAACCUUUCAAUGUGCAGUCAGGAACUUGUUGUAAAACAAGAAAAGUUUCUAUGUCUCUAAGCCUGGGACUUAGAACAAACAUAUAAGGUCACUAAAUCACACAUCCGGGACAAAUUUCUUUUCUUAUUUUCUUCUUUUGAGAAAGGGUUUCUCUGUGGCUUUGGAGGCUGUCCUGGAACUAGCUCUACUAGACCAGGCUGGUCUCGAACUCACAGAGAUCUGCCUGUCUCUGCCUCCCGAGUGCUGGGAUUAAAGGCCUGCGCCACCACUGCCCAGCCGGAACAAAUAUCUUAGGACUUUGUUCUUUUUAAAAUGUGAUUGUGUCCUGAAAAUUUAUCACAUGUGCAGGA